rnacentral:misc_RNA from 1 species
GAUGAAGAACGCAGCGAAAUGCGAUAAGUAAUGUGAAUUGCAGAAUUCAGUGAAUCAUCGAAUCUUUGAACGCACAUUGCGCCCGCUAGUAUUCUGGCGGGCAUGCCUGUCCGAGCGUCAUUUCAACCCUCAAGCCCCCGGGCUUGGUGUUGGGGAUCGGCGAGCCUCCGCGCCCGCCGUCCCCUAAAUCUAGUGGCGGUCUCGCUGUAGCUUCCUCUGCGUAGUAGCACACCUCGCACUGGGAAACAGCGCGGCCACGCCGUUAAACCCCCAACUUCUGAACGUUUGACCUCGGAUCAGGUAGGAAUACCCGCUGAACUUAAGCAUAUCAUAAGCGGAGA